AACGCGAAGAACCUUACCCAGGCUUGACAUGCAGAUGACCGCUCUAGAGAUAGAGCUUUCCUUCGGGACAUCUGCACAGGUGCUGCAUGGCUGUCGUCAGCUCGUGCCGUGAGGUGUUUGGUUAAGUCCAGCAACGAGCGCAACCCUUAUCAUUAGUUGCCAACAUUUAAGGUGGGAACUCUAAUGAGACUGCCUGGGUUAACCAGGAGGAAGGUGAGGAUGACGUCAAGUCCGCAUGGCCCUUAUGUCUGGGGCUACACACGUGCUACAAUGGUCGGUACAAAAGGCAGCAAAGCCGCGAGGUGGAGCAAAUCCCUAAAGCCGAUCCCAGUUCAGAUUGUAGUCUGCAACUCGACUACAUGAAGACGGAAUUGCUAGUAAUGAUAGGUCAGCAACACUAUCGUGAAUACGUUCCCGGGCCUUGUACACACCGGUACUA
rnacentral:rRNA from 1 species